rnacentral:rRNA from 1 species
UACGUAGGGAGCAAGCGUUGUCCGGAAUCAUUGGGCGUAAAGCGCGCGUAGGUGGCUUCAUAAGUCCGUUGUGAAAGUCAAAGGCUCAACCUUUGAAAGCCGAUGGAUACUGUGAAGCUAGAGUACGGAAGAGGCGAGUGGAAUUCCUGGUGUAGCGGUGAAAUGCGCAGAUAUCAGGAGGAACACCAAUAGCGAAGGCAGCUCGCUGGGACGUUACUGACACUGAGGCGCGAAAGCGUGGGGAGCGAACAGG